rnacentral:rRNA from 1 species
AACGUAGGAGGCAAGCGUUAUCCGGAUUUAUUGGGCGUAAAGCGCGUGCAGGCGGUUUGAUAAGUUGGAUGUGAAAUCUCCCGGCUCAACUGGGAGCGGUCAUUCAAAACUAUCAGACUAGAGGAUGGGAGAGGGAGGUGGAAUUCCGGGUGUAGUGGUGAAAUACGUAGAUAUCCGGAGGAACACCAGUGGCGAAGGCGGCCUCCUGGACCAUUCCUGACGCUAAGACGCGAAAGCUAGGGGAGCAAACGGGAUUAGAGACCCCGGUAGUCCUAGCCGUAAACGAUGUAGACUUGGCGUUGGCGGAGUUAAAUCUGUCAGUGCCGGAGCUAACGCGUGAAGUCUACCGCCUGGGGACUACGACCGCAAGGUUAAAACUCAAAGGAAUUGACGGGGACCCGCACAAGCAGCGGAGCGUGUGGUUUAAUUCGAUGCUACACGAAGAACCUUACCAGGGUUUGACAUGCAAGUGGUAGUGAUCUGAAAAGUGAACGACCCUUCGGGGAGCUUGCACAGGUGCUGCAUGGCU